UCUAAGAUGAAUAAAAUAUCUGAUCAUUUAAGUUAUUUUCUAGAAUAAAUUAUUUUAGAGGUGAAAUAUGAAAAUGUAUCCAAUCAUAGGUAUAAAGAUUUUGGCUAAAUUACAGAAAACCCUCCUAUUAAUACCAACUUUUUCAUUGCCUCCCCCUCCGUCAUUUAAAAAUCUACACUUUGCCCUCUUAAAAAAUAAAAAAAAUGUUCACUUUAAUUCCGCCGUACGUCAAUGUUUCGUUACGGUUCCAUUUAUAUUCUAAUUUUAUACUCAAAAUAUUCCUGAAACCCUCCUUCUUUCUCAUCCUCCGCCGCGCCGCCUCACCCUCCGCCGCCUCACGCUUGCCCACGCCCACCUCCCUAUCCAUGCCCACACACAUGCCUUCGCUUGCCUCCGCCGCCUCACCCUCACCCUCGCCCUCGCCCACCUCUCCAUCCACGCCCAUCCCGAAAAAGAUGAUGGGCAAUUUGAUCAUUUUGUCACAACAUACUCUCCUGUGAGUAUCUUUUAUUUAUUUUUUUAAGAGGGUAAAGUGCAGGUUUUUGAAUGACAGGAGGAGAAGUAAAAAAGCGGGUAUUCAUAGGAGGAUUUUCUAUAAUUUAGCCAAAGAUCUUUUAAGUAGUAAAAAUUAAACUUCAUACUUUUAUUAUAUAAAACAAAAUUUAUAUAUA
rnacentral:lncRNA from 1 species